UAGGGGAGGAAGAAUAAAAGGUCAAGUUCACUAGGAAUACCUACCAGGCUGACUCUGCAUAUCCCUUAAAACAUGUCUGGUUACUCUGGAAUACUGUUGGUCCAUUCUCUUCUUCUGGGGUGAGCUGCUCUCGGGGACACCCUGGGUGUCUACACAGUCCCUUCCUUUGUACUGUCUCUUCACCCUAUCCUUGUCCUCCCUGGCUCUCCUUUCAGAAACGCUGUUCAUUCUGUGCAUUGAUUUCUGGCCUUUGUCCUUCUGUCCAUCCUGGAUCAAUGGUCAGAAAUAACAUGAGAGGUCAGAGGGUUUUCCCAGUCCACCCCUGAAGCAGACAUUAACCCUUUGUGGGCUCCUACCUGUCUGCAGAAGGCCUCUCUCAGGCUCACCCACCGUGAAGGAAGCAUACCAUUCCCCCGGCCACCAUAGUCCCUCAAUACUCUAACGUUUCAGUAGCCUUGGAUACAAUGGAUUUUUAAUUGGUCAGGGAAUAGGGGAAGUGGUCCCAAUGGUGAACAAGACCCGAGGAGGGGUCCUGGCUAGACGACUGGCCAGCGCCAGGGGAAGUGAACAUAUAAAGCUGAUUGGUGGCUAGAGUUCCAACUGAACCCUCCUUCUGCCACUGGUUUUCCCUCUUGUCCUGCUCUCUAUUAAACUGAUGGUUGGUGAAUUCUACAGACUCUUGGGAUGUGUAGAUUUUCCUUUCUGGGGAAGGUUUGGAAGAGAGUGGUACCACAGGGGUGGCUCUCUCAGGGCCGUGGGUAGGCAAAGCUAGCAGUCCUGAGGAAGCAGUGUCCAGCGAAGACCCAACUGAUCAGAUUUAGAUAUUUGUCUCUUGGCAGUGGUGGCUGGAAGUGAUGAGAUAUCUAGAAAGUGGGAAUGGUAGGAGGCUCUUUCCAAAGAAGGAAACAGCUCAUGUGGAAUGAAUGACUUCUUGCUUUAGGGCAAACCGGUGGCAUCUGCUUUUAGUGACAUUUCAAGGUCCCAGCAGAGCCGGACCUGUGUGUGUGUGUGUGUGUGUGUGUGUGUGUGUGUGUGUGUGUGUAUUAAAUGUGCAUUGUCUCUGGUUGUUCCUGGUACAAGAUGCUUCAUGUAUGUGGGAGUGGGACCAUCCCUUUGCCAGGGUUUGACCCCUUACUUUCUUUCUGUUUGGGUGGAGGGUGGGGUGGUCACUGGAGAGGAGUGGAAGUGACUAAGCCUGUGGAAGGGGGAUUAGUGACUUGAUAUAAUACCUGUAUUGGGAACCCAAGGAGCCCAUGACCAAAGGUCAGCAGGGCUCUGAGGUUGGACAGACCCUUACUUACCUUACUUAACAGACCCCACCCCCCGACCCCAGACAGGGGUUUGAAGCACUCUGAGUCUUUGAGGAUUGUGGUGUUAGGCAGGAGGCAGGAGGCAGGAGGCAGGAGGCAGGAGGCAGGAGGCAGGAGGCAGGAGGCAGGAGGCAGGAGGCAGGAGGCAGGAGGCAGGAGGCAGGAGGCAGACUCCCUGGAUCCCAAGAGAGAUGACUCUUCUCUGCCCCUACCUCACCUAGCUCUCAAGGACAUAUGAAGGUUGUGGUGGAGGGCAGCCCCCACACUCUGCUGUACACUUAGCUCCCCACUCUUUCUUCACCCUCCCACUCCCACUCCAUGGAAGUUGGGGUAGGAGCUCCUGCUAUGCUUGGUAACAGCAGGAAGGACUGGGGCAAACUUUCAGGCCUAGGAGACAGAUUUCUGAAGACUAGAAAAGAGCAGACAGAGCCCCAGCUUUUUUCCUCUCUUUGGCUCCCUAACACGGCUAUGUGCCCCAUGUGCUCCCUUGUCCCCCAGCUCUGUGAAACAGCUGGCCUGCCCUCCUCCAUCCCCCUUCAACACCAAAUGGAGGCAGGUAUCAGGUCCAGUCUGACAGCCGGAGGCAGGUCUCAGAACCUCUGGUCCCCCAGUCUCCAUUCCUGGGCCCGCUUUCCUGGUUCAAAAGUCAUCUUAGCCAAUCUGCUGUCUCUGGGCAUAGGUAUAUUUCUUGACCCCAUAGAAACUCCUUAUUCUCCUCAUCUCAGGCGUGUGAGGAGGUCUCAACACACCCUCUCCAGUCCCUAGGUCUCCAGGUAGGGAGAGGAGAAGCCAGGGUACCUGGCCCUCCCUGGAUCUGAGAAGCAGAAGUUUCAAAGAGCACACCUGCUUGGUCCCUUUUCAUCCACACCCAAUUCUACAAAAAAGCUCUAGCAAUGUGGAAACCUCUCUUUCUCCUGCCCAUACCCAGAGGUCUGAUAAUUUCAGAUGGAGAGCUUGACAGUGAGUGACUGGGGGCAGGAGUCCUGGGGAGCUGGAUGCUCUUGGGGACCGAUGGUCCCCACAUUCGAGGGAAUGCAAAAGAAGACGGGCUGCAGAUAGUAAGUAGCCCCUUCCAUACGCUCACUGACGCUGACACACACUGCUCACUCACACACUGCCGCCUCUGCCAGGCUGCUCCGAGCUAAAAAUAGGCCAGGCCAGGAGGCUGGGCCAGGGCCUUGCACUCCCACCCGGUGAGCCAAGCUUUCUUGGUGGCUUGCUUUCUGGCUGAGCUUGGACCCCAGGCCCAGACGCUACAGUUCGCCGCGCUACGUCCCGCAUCUCACCCCCACUCCCUACUCCAUAGGGCAGAGUUAUACCCAGGUCCCACGUGCUCCGACUUGCAGAAGGGAACACCAGCUUGCAGACCCCCGCCCUCGCUCCAAAGCGCCUCCAUAGCUGUCCUCAUCCCUUUCCGUGCCACACUCAUAGCCCAGGUGCGGAUGACUCGGAGGAACUGAAGACAAUAUGGAACCUUGUUUUCUGACCAUGAGAAUAGCAGUCGCUAACCCAGUGGGCUGCAUGUCAACAUGCCAUGCGGUGUGGGUGGGGGAAGACUCCCAGAGGUCUGCCAGCUUUGUGGCCAGCCUACAAUGGGAGCCACUAUGAUGUGCAGGAACCCAGAAACCUGAAAUGCUCCCAACUGGCUGGAAAUCUCAGCUUCCUGUGGUGCUCUGACACUCUCCUGUAUAGAAUUUCAACAUCUUCUGAGAUUUGAAGACACUUGAUGGAAAAUGUUGUAGAGAGUUCACACCAUCCAUAGUCAUUGUACUGGGAGAGAGAAGGAAGCAAAUGGGCAGGAACAUUGAUUACGGGCUUCCGCAUGGUUUCCAGUGACAGCACAGACCACAAACAUGCCAUCCAGCUACAGAAGAAACAAAGACCCAGACAAGGCCCUCAGAGGCAGCCUGGACCACUAGCAUCAACAUGGCCUCAGGUGACAGUGUAGCGCACUCACCUCAAUAUGAUCCCUGGUAGCAACACUGCUCAUAGAUAACAUGGCCCCAGGAUGCAGCAUAGAGAAAUCUGAGACCUGGGACCCAGACAUGGCCCUUGGCAGCAGCAUGAUCUGGACAUCACCAUGGCCCCAGGUGUCAGUGCAGACCACCGAUACCAAAAUGGCCCCUGGUGGUAGCAUGGCCAUGGACAUAAAUACAUCAUCAGGUUGUAGCACGGAGCAUGCACAUCCUUAUAGCCUUGGAUGGUAACACAGACCACAGACCAACAUGGCCUUGGUCAUAUCAGGACUCACUCAUGGCACUUAGCAGUAGUACAAACCUUAUGCCUCAACAUGGCCUUAGGUGGCUACACAAGCCAUUCACAUCAACACUUCUCUCUUCAAAUGGGCUUCAAUUAGCAGCAGACUGCAUAUGUUCACAUGGAUUAUCUUUAUAGAUCUGGGGGAGAAGUUUUAUUUUGUUCAUUUAUUUGUUUUUUUUUUGUGUGUGUUUGUUUUUUUGUUUUUGUUUUUGUUUUUCAAGACAGAGUUUCUCAGUCCUAGCUGUCUUUGUAUUCACUUUGUAGACAAGGCUAACCUUUAGGGACCCUGUUAAUCAUCUGAUGUAUUUGAAACCAUAUUAUGAUGGUUAGUUUUAAUUUUCAAGUGUACACAGCCUAGAAUUACCUAGGAAAAUUGUCUAAAUGAGGAGUUUAAUUUGGGUUGGCCUAUGGGCAUGUGUGUAGAAUAUUGUCUUAAUUAAGAUAAUUUUAUGAGAAGGCCCAAUGCAGUAUGGGGGGCUCCAUUGCCUAAACAAGGGUCUUGGUCUGUAUAAGAGUAGAAAAAUCCAAGUCAGCAAACUUGUACACCAAUACUUCUGCAGCUUUUGACUGUGAAUGUGAUGAGACCAGCUCUUUGAAGUUCCUUCCUUGAUUUCCCCAUGAUGAUAGACUGUAAUCUGAAAACAUAAGCUAAAUAAACCCUUUUCUCCAUAUU
rnacentral:sRNA from 1 species